UACGUAGGGUGCGAGCGUUGUCCGGAAUUAUUGGGCGUAAAGAGCUUGUAGGCGGUUUGUCGCGUCUGCCGUGAAAAUCCGGGGCUCAACCCCGGACUUGCGGUGGGUACGGGCAGACUAGAGUGUGGUAGGGGAGACUGGAAUUCCUGGUGUAGCGGUGAAAUGCGUAGAUAUCUGGAGGAACACCGGUGGCGAAGGCGGCAUCCUGGACCAAUAUUGACGCUGAGGAGCGAAAGCCAGGGGAGCAAACGGG
rnacentral:rRNA from 1 species